AACGUAGGAGGCGAGCGUUAUCCGGAUUCACUGGGCGUAAAGCGCGCGUAGGCGGUUUGGUAAGUCGGACGUGAAAGCCCCUGGCUCAACUGGGGGAGGCCGUUCGAUACUGCCAGGCUUGAGGGUGAGAGAGGAGAGUGGAAUUCCCGGUGUAGCGGUGGAAUGCGUAGAGAUCGGGAGGAACACCAGUGGCGAAGGCGACUCUCUGGCUCACCCCUGACGCCGAUAGCGCGAAAGCGUGGGUAGCAAACGGG
rnacentral:rRNA from 1 species